rnacentral:lncRNA from 10 species
AUGGUGCAGUCCUCACUGCAGGAACCAUCGCCGUGGCCAGGCCUGCAGGGGCAAGCACAGCUCCAGUUCCCAGCCAGGGCACCAGUGAGAAGAGCCAGGGAGGGGCUGCCUGACGGGAGCAACGCCCCUGCAAGAGAGGCGGCCCUGGAGGCAAAGUGGUGGGGGAGGGGCCUAAGUGCUCUCAUCCCACUCCCCUCCCUGGCCUCCCACUGGCCCAGCCCCAGGGAAGCCAGAGGCCGGGUGGAGAGGAGUGGAGGUCUUCAGAAACUAAUAGAGAAAAAUCACAGAACUGUGGACAUGGGACUUGAAAGAUAUUUGAUGGAGCCAGAGAAGGAUAUGGCAAGCAAGAAUAUUUGUUUAAGUUGAAAUCGAGAUCUUCCUCCUCCUUGGUAGAGGCUCCCAGAUCAAAAGAUACUGGGGGCUAUCCUGCCAGAAAGCAUAGUCAAAUCAGGUGAGUAUUUUCCUGAGUUGAUAGCUUUAUUUACCCUGGUCUGUAGGGAUAGCUCUCAGGAAUUUACCCCUUUUCAAAAUACCUGUCAUUCAGGAAAGAAGGGGCCAGAGAGAGGGUAGAUUAUCUGUUGCAAAAUGUCUGGGAAUCCCUACCUACAACUCAGGUACCUAUAUCCCUUUUUAAUGAGGGCACACACUCUGAACUCUUUCAUUUUUGAGGAUGGCAGCCCUGGACCCUUAGGUUUGAUGUGGAGAUGGCUGGGAAGCAGGGCUGGUGAGAGAUGUGCACUUAGGCACAUUUCUUGGCUCCUCUAGCUGUUUUUCUGAAUCUUCUAAGGUGGAGCUCCCUCUUGCAGUUACAAAGAUGACCCAAUAAUAUCAUAGAGAGAAGACAACCAGUUCUGCAAAUGUGCCCUAAUGGGGGAGUCAUCACAGUUUUGUAGUCCCCAAAACUCAUGUCGUCAAUGUGACCAGAAUGACCAGACCCUCAGGGAUGGUUUCAUCUAGCCAGACUUGGUGAAGACUCAUGAGUGAACAGAACUCCAGUUUAUGAUGGUGACAUUUGUCUCUGGUGACCAAAAAGCUCCAUGAUUGUUCUCCAGGACCCCCAUGGCUAAGUCCUGGGUACCUGGGGAAUCAUGCUAGUAACCAGAAAGUUGUUUGGUGAUCACAAAAUCACGAAAGAGAAAUGGCUAGUGUUAUGGGUUGAACUGUGUCCCUUCCAAAUUCAUGUGUUAACGUCCUAACCCCUAGUACCUCAGAACGUGACCUUAUUUGGAAAUAGACUUGUAGCAGAUAUAAUUACAGCUGACCCUUGAACAGUGUGGGCGUUAGACAUGCCAACCUGCAUAGUUAAAAAUGCAUGUAUAACUUCUACUCCCCAAAAACUUAGCUACAAAUAGCCUACUGUGGAACCACAGCCUUAUCAGAUAAUAACAGAAACAGUUGAUUAACACAUAUUUUGUAUAUUGUAUGUAUUACAUACAAUGAUCUUACAAUAAAGUAAGUUAGGAAAAGUGUUAAGAAAAUAAGGAAAAUACAUUUAUAGUACUGUACUGUAUUUAUUGAUACUGUAAGUUCACAUCACCUGUCUACAAGGUGAAUUGUGUGUCUGAAUUGGCAGCAACAGCAACUGCAGACCUCAAUCUAUAGUGCAUAUCAAGCAAUUCAGCUUUUUGUUGUAAACUCAUGACUUUUCUCUGCUUCUCGGGAGCACUUUGAACAUCACUGGUGGCACUUCGCAUGGGUCCCAUGGUGUUAUUCAAGGUUUAUAGUAUUGCACUAAACCCAUUGAAAAAUAUGUGAGAACUGACAGAGAUCACUUCUUACUGCAAUAUGCAAUUUAUUGGAGAGAUGAACUGCUCAUGCGGAGAUGAUGAGCAUCACACGGCAUUUUAAGUGGAUACUCGCAACACUUGAGCUUGCCACCAUAACAACAGGAAGUGGCUAUGAAAUUAUUACAGUAGUGCAAUAUUACUGCAGCUAAUUUUAUGCAGUUAUGAUUUAAUACUGCAUCUUUACAUUUGUUUACAUUUCUCUCAACUUUGAAUGGCUCCCCAUACAAUCUGUGUUUG